AUUGGAUGAGGAGUGACAUGUCCCUGGACGCUCUACAUUGGACAUGCUGCUGCAUCUUCCAGGUCUGUAGUCCUUUUGGGCCACCGGGAGCAUUUCUGAACUGAUUUGCUGACAUAAGGCACCACCAGAAUUGACAAGAAUUUUAAACAAAUUAUUCCAAAACUGAAUGGAAGAAGAUGACGGAGAGAAGGAGACAGGUGGUACAGGAGAAGAUGAGAGAAAUGAUGAGAGAGAAGCAGGAGAAGGCCAAGAAUGCAGGCAUGAAUUUAAGAUGGUGGAGGCUGAAGCUGUGCCUUCAAGUUGGAGUUGUGCAUCUGGCUGGUUCUGCCAGCGGAAGGAGUGAUUCUGUUAUCAUUGAUGCUGUAGCUUCUAGGAGGAAGGGAGGCAAAUACACAAAGAAACGAGGGUCAGAGAAAGUAUCUGACUUGCCCAAGAGAUACCAGUAGGAAGUGGAAGAGUUCAGAUCCGUGUUUCUCACGCCUGAGCAUGCAUCAGUGCUACAUGGAGAGGUUGUUUGCUGGGCCCCGACACAAUGUGUGAAUCCGCAGAUCUGGGUGAGGCCCUAGAACUUGCAUGUCUCACAAAUUCCCAGGUGUUGCAGAUGCGGCUACUGCUCCAAUGACCCGGCUUUGAGAACCACCAGAUUAAAAGACAAGCCUUCUGAUUCCUAAGCCUGGUCUCUUCUCUCUAAGCCACACUUCCCUACAAAUGGCAGCAGCUCCAAUUGGCUUUCUCCUCCAGCUGUUUAAAAUUCAUCUUUCUUUAAAAUGUAAAAUGCAAAGUUUUAUUUGAACAAUUCAAACCUUUACAAUUGGAUAUCUUCUACCUUAUUAGACUACUUAAACAAAAAUGGAAAACACCUUUUUUUUCUACUGGUAGAACAAUGGCUAAUCAUGGUUUUAAAGACUAUUUAAAGAAAAACUGUGGUUUGCCAAGAAAAUGUGAACUGUUGAAGGUAUUGUGGCAUUCAUAUAAAGGGCCUCAUUUGCUGAAACGAGAGAUUUAAUAAGUAAAGGUGUA